UGGCACGUAGCUUAAUUGGCAAAGUCGUCGGUUGUUACCCGAUUGGAUGAAGGUUCAAAUCCUUCCGUGUCAGCCA
rnacentral:tRNA from 2 species